AACGAACGCUGGCGGCAUGCCUAACACAUGCAAGUCGAACGAGAUCUUCGGGUCUAGUGGCGCACGGGUGCGUAACGCGUGGGAGUCUGCCCUUUUGUUCGGAAUAACAGUUGGAAACGACUGCUAAUACCGGAUGAUGACGAAAGUCCAAAGAUUUAUCGCCAGAGGAUGAGCCCGCGUAGGAUUAGCUAGUUGGUGUGGUAAAGGCGCACCAAGGCGACGAUCCUUAGCUGGUCUGAGAGGAUGAUCAGCCACACUGGGACUGAGACACGGACCAGACUCCUACGGGAGGCAGCAGUGGGGAAUAUUGGACAAUGGGCGAAAGCCUGAUCCAGCAAUGCCGCGUGAGUGAUGAAGGCCUUAGGGUUGUAAAGCUCUUUUACCCGGGAUGAUAAUGACAGUACCGGGAGAAUAAGCUCCGGCUAACUCCGUGCCAGCCGCCGCCGUAA
rnacentral:rRNA from 1 species